AUCUCCCACUGGAGCUGCAGAGAAACAGCAGACUAAUCUCAGAGGCAGUGCCCUUCUCGUACCCAGAGCUCUUCUUACGCGCGGUCAACGGAGCGCGACGAGGGGCUCUGGCCAAAUAACUGGCAUCUGAUUGGCUACAACGAAGGUUAAUUGUUCUAAUCCGGAUAUAUUCUAUUACCAUGUUUUUAUGAUAUCCGGUUAUGGAUUUGGCCAGAGCAAGGCCAGAGCCCCUCGUCGCACCGCGCGUAAGAAGGGCUCUGGGUACGAGAAUGAGGCAGUGCUGAUCAGUCUGCUAUCAUCCUCGUUCCCAGAAGCCCUGGGAACGAGGAUGGUCUGCUAUCGCACACUACACCGUCUCCGUACCCAGGCGUUUCUUUGUAAAGCGUGCGCAUAUGACGAGUUCACAUGAAGUAUUGUAUUUGUAGUACUACACCGCCGUCUAACAUCCUCUAUAUAGUACUCACCUUGACCUUUCAAGACUAAUAAUGCAACAUAUAUACCCUCACGCGUAUUAUUAGGGAGGCUGGACGCGCAGGGGCGGGAAUAUAAAAAAGGGUAGUCAUUUUUAGAUAAGGAUUAGAUUAGAGCCAGAUUAAGAUUAAACCAGGGUUAGGGUUAGAUGUUAGAGUGGGGUUGGGUGGGGGUUAGGGUUCAACUUAAUAAAAGGCAUAUCCUUAAUCUUUAGAAAAUUUGACAAUUAUUAAGGAUAAUCCUAAUACUACGUGUGAGGAUAUGCAGAAUAGUACUGAUAGUUUCGAAUACAUAUUUUGAACGAAACAAUACUUAAAAUGUACAAAUUUUAAUAUAUUCUUUUCCAAAAUCAGGGACGCCGGAACUGGGGGGGGCAGGUGGGGCGGCUGCCCCCCUUGCCUUUUGCUAGGGGGGGCAGGGGGCAGAAGUGCCCUUUUAGUUGUAAAAUACUACAUGAUAAAUCACAUUUCCAACGAUGCUUUUUGUUCGAAAAUCAUGAGAUUCAGGCAAUUUAUAGGUCGUAUUUGACUUAUAUGUCCGGAAAAAUUUUUGACCCCUAAAAUGGUACACUGACCGUAUUUGUUUUGGCGACGGCGGGAGGGGGGGGGCAGAGGUCGCCGAAAAUUUUCGAUUGAAAAAAAAAAUUUCCGGUAGAUUUUGAAGUUUUGCUCUAUAGAAGUGCCCUUGGUGUGCGUCCGCCCCCCUUUGCCUUAUUAUCGUUCCGGCGUCCCCGUCCAAAAUACACAUAGUAAUUACUGUAUAAGAUGUACAACAAAGUGCAUUAUAAAAACGAUUUAUAAUAAAGUAAAUUUACAUUGCUACGUUUCAUUCUCCAUACUUUUAUAAACGUAAUAACACGUGUUUGAAGUUGCGAAGAAGUAAACAUGAAUCGGAGUUGUUCGGAAAUUACCAGAACAUUCGGAAACGCCAGUGUAUAAGUAACUCGAAGUUUAACUCGAACUCGAAUCCAACUCGAUGUUU